rnacentral:rRNA from 1 species
GACGAACGCUGGCGGCGUGCCUAAUACAUGCAAGUUGAGCGCUGAAGGUUGGUACUUGUACCGACUGGAUGAGCAGCGAACGGGUGAGUAACGCGUGGGGAAUCUGCCUUUGAGCGGGGGACAACAUUUGGAAACGAAUGCUAAUACCGCAUAAAAACUUUAAGCACAAGUUUUAAGUUUGAAAGAUGCAAUUGCAUCACUCAAAGAUGAUCCCGCGUUGUAUUAGCUAGUUGGUGAGGUAAAGGCUCACCAAGGCGAUGAUACAUAGCCGACCUGAGAGGGUGAUCGGCCACAUUGGGACUGAGAAACGGCCCAAACUCCUACGGGAGGCAGCAGUAGGGAAUCUUCGGCAAUGGACGAAAGUCUGACCGAGCAACGCCGCGUGAGUGAAGAAGGUUUUCGGAUCGUAAAACUCUGUUGGUAGAGAAGAACGUUGGUGAGAGUGGAAAGCUCAUCAAGUGACGGUAACUACCCAGAAAGGGACGGCUAACUACGUGCCAGCAGCCGCCGCCG